UCCUGCGGCCCACCUCCACCGUCACACCGGCGUCGAAACACAUGUCGGCUACGGCGGCAUAUACGUAGCCUUUCUUCAUCAUCGCACCCACUAAUCUCACUACCUCCUCUUUAACCUUCUCAUACGCUUCAUCCACUAAAUAAGUCAGGUCCGAACCGGAGUCAAUCAUGGUUUGACCCGACCCACCCGCAUCCGGUUUGAAAGCGGCUGGGGGGAUGUUUAACCGUUUUCCGGCUAUUUUUAUUGCCUUCAUAGGGAGAGUGUAAGCCAGUGGGUCGAGAUUCGGAGAGCUUUGACUUUCCGGAAAAGUCAACAUGGUGACGUAUUUGAAUUUGGAAGAAUUGGGGUUAUCUCCCAGGUAGAAUAGCCCGGUGGGAUUAGGCCCGGUUCGACUCGGAACGCAAUAGGAGAAUUUGGAGAUUUUAGCUUGGGAGAUAAAGGACAAACGUCCAUGAUUCAUUCCCAAAAUACCCCUGUUUUCGGUGGAGCCUUGAGCGCAACCGAGGAUGACGGGAGGGGUAGAAAGAGAAUUAGAGAAGGUAAAUUUUUCUCUGACGAGAUUUCCCUCAGCCAAGGUACCGUCAGCGUAGAAGUAGGAGUAGUGGCAGAGGCGAUUUUGAUCACAAGAAGUGGGAAGAGUAAAAUCUGGAAUUCGGGGUUUGCAGAUGGGGUGAUUACAAGGGAGGAGAGAAAAAGAAGAGGAGAGAGAAGGAUCAAAGGUGGCGGUUUUAGGCUUGGGCAAGGGGGGCAAUCUUUUCUUAACUUUUUUGUCAUGACAUUGAAUCCAAGAGAGUUGGCUGCCGGUGUCUAGAACCAAGUCAGUGGGCUGUGGCGGCGUUCCGAUCGGAAGAGAGACGACGAGGGCAGAGGAGGAGUAUUUGAAAGGAAGCUUGAAGGGGCCAUGGGAUGAUGGCUUUUUGACGUAAAGCUGGGAAGAGUAGUAUAAUGGGGUAAUAUUGGAGGGUUUUUCAGUGAGAGAAAGAGGGAAGGGGAGAGAGAGGGAAUUGGAUUGAGAGAAGGAGAGAGUGAAUAAUGAGAGAGAGAAGAGAAUUAGAAGCAUUGUUGAUUGUGUUGGGGGGGGGAUUGGUGAAGUGGAGGGUUGGGGAUUAUAUACAUCAGGAGAGAAAAAAAAAAUAGAAGAGAGAGAAAAAGAAAAGAAAUUAUUCGCGGAGGGCAAGGAUUCCAUGCUGUUAAAUGUGUGAUAGAGAGAAUUCAAAAGCUGAAUGGUAAAUUUUUGCCCUGAGGUAAUAAAUCGUAUCAUUGACCUGUAAAAUUCAGGAAAUUUGCGUCCAAUAAAAACUUAACAUAAUUAACGUAGGUAAUUUUUACUAGAAAAACAGGUAAAGAUUUGAGAUGCCUAUUUUUAUAUGCACAUACUUAAUAAUUUAAGAUUAAUGGUAAUUAAAGAUGUUUUUGUAUGCAUAAAUAGGUGGAGAAUUUAAAUGAUAUUUUGUGUUUGUAAUGUUAGGGUUUUAGGAGGUAGUUAGUUUUGUAAGGUUAUGGUAGGAGAGAGAGAGGGAAAGAAGUGGGCAUAAAACCACCAAGAAAAAAGGCCAAAAUUGAAAAAAAGGGGAAUGACGCGUUUUCUUUGUAGAGUUGUAAUAACAUAUCUAAUUAGUUUAAUUGUCACAUUCCUUUUAUAAUUUAUUUCUAAUUUUUUGGGAGGAAUUAAAUUGCAUGGUGUUAGAUUAUGCUAAAGUCCCCUUGCCUCUUUUUUUUGUUCCUCCCUCCAUGAUUCAUUUAGUGUUCCCGUAAGUUUCUACCCUACAAUAAAUUGAGUUUUUUCUUCACACAUGGAUCAAAAAUAAAUCUAGAGAACGAGUAAGAAAAAACAAUUAACUCGUUUUUCAAAACACGAAAUAUUUUUUUAAAAGAUUUUAAAUUUGUAGUAUUUUUGUCGUGUCGUGAGUUUGUUUGUGAAAGGAAAAAUGUGGUUAUAAAAAGAAGUGAAAUAUUAAUACACUACUUUUUCUUUUUUAAAAAAUAGACUAAAUGAUACAAAAUGUCUCUCCAAUUUUGCAAUUUUAGGUUAAAAAUAAGGAUCCUUCCAAAAAUAGUAAAAAAAAUUAUGAUAAUAGAACUUAUGUCACUACAUUUACUAAAAUGUAAAAGUAACAAAUUUAAAAGUCGAUAACCUUAUGAUUAUUGUCUGAUAGCCAUUCGAUAGCUCUAUGAUUACCGUCUGUAGCCGUCUGAUAUCAAUAAUUUUUUUUAUUCAUAAUAUGUAAAAUAUAGGUAUCAUGUGCUGUUCUUUUCUAAAUGUUUUUUUUUUUCAUUUGAUGCAAUUUUUCUUAAAAAUAUUCCUAAAUUUUCAAAAGUUUCAAAAAUAUCCUCAAACCUUAAAAAGGUUUUUUUUUAAAAAAAUACACUUACGGUUAGUUUUGAUGAAAAUUGUUAAAGCUUUGUUUAAAAAAAUAACCCUAAGCUAUUUAAAAGUAAAAAAAAAAAAAAAACAACUCUAGCAAUUAGUAUAUGAACUGAAAUCGUUAACAUCUCAUUGGAAAAAUAACUCGAUCUAAAUUAGAAAGAUCUCUAUCUCGUUGCUAUGAAAAAGUUAGGGUUUCUCAUUGUGAUUAUGUUAUAUACAUAUUCAAAGGACACUUAGUCCUCUAGUUAAGGAUGUCAAUUCAGUUUGUUUUAAGAGAAACAUAUGUAUUAUCUUGUUGUUUCAAUUUGUGUUAAAAGAAUGGAAUGUUACAUGUAUUGAAGACAUACUCUAUUUUCUCCUUACUAUUGUGCGUCGUGGUUCAUUGAGAGAUGAUUUUCUAAGCUCAGAAGGAGUCUAAGUCAUUCGAACAAAGAAGAUUUUGUUCAAUGGAAAGAUACAACAUUGUGAGAGAGGGAGUCUCACAAACUUUAGGAGGACUCAAGUUCUUCAGAGAGAGAGCACUACAAGAAAUUUAUUAUUCAGUGGCAAAGUUUUAGUGGCAUAAGUGAUUUUUGUUAGUAAAUGGUUACUUUUAGCAACACAAAAAAAAGUUGUCACAAAAUAUUAUUAUUAGCAACAUAUUUUUAAUUCAUGUCACUAAAACUUUUAGUAACACACAAAAUAAUAUCACUAAAAGUUAAAUAAUUUUAGCAACAAAUGAAAAUGUUAAAAACUCUACCAAAAUCUCCCUCCUUAAAUCUCCCUCUAACUUUUCAUUUAAUAAUUUAUUAAACAUAUAUUUUUUUUCAUCAAGCCCUAAUUUCUCUUCAUCUUCCAUGACAAAAAAAAAAAAAAAAAAAACCCCACAAUUCCACAUCCCCAAAUUCCCAACCCUCUCCAUCUCAUCGGUCGACCAUGUUUCAAUUAACUCACGUCAACUAACUGCAACCGACGACCACCCACGACAACCCAACUUCUCCUUUUGUUUAUAUCAACUCCAUCUCCCUCCUCUCAUCCCCCCCUUCCCACCCCAUUCCCCCACCUCCCCUUUCUACAUCCAUCAAACCCUUCUUCUUUUUUCCUUUUCUAUCCAUCUCACCUCCCCUUGAAGAUUCGGUUCUCAUCAACUUUUCCAUGGCUGAGUUGACUCAGCCGGAGGUCUACUCGCCCGACAAUCUGUACGUCUAGAAGACCCUCUUGAACUGGUUGGCUUUCUUCUUCCAGAUCUUUGUUUCCAUCCUCACAGCUUUUGGACACCUUCGUCUUCUUUUUGUGCAAAUUGAGAUGUACUUCUUUGAUUUCGUCCUCUUCUUUUGGGUAUAUAUUCUUACCUUUGAAAAUGGAGGCUUGUGAAUGCUAGUGGAAGAAGAAGAGUAUGCGAGGAGGCUCAAGAGAGAACACAGAAAGAUAUGACAAAGGUCUAAGUAGUUGCACAUAUUAGGAAAAUGAUCAAGCUUUCUCCUAAGAGCAAUUACUAUCUCCACAAUGUUGUCUUGCAUUAUUUGCUCAAAGGUGUGGUGGUUAUAGUUUUGUUCUUAUGAAGAUAGUUUUACACCAUUUCCUAUGGUUUUUAUUACUUUGGACAAACCUACAUGCUUGAACUCAUUUUGUGCUUAAGAUUUGCUAUAACUUAUAUAUUAUGCUUUUAAUGCUUGUAUGAACUCGUUUCAACAAUUUUAUAUUAUGCUUCUAAUGCUUAAGAUUUGUUCAAAAGUAUGAGUGAACAGAUCAUGAUAAUUCAGUAAGUUUUUUUGGCAUUCUUCGUUGUUUUAUCCAAUUCUUUAAUGGCGUAAAGAAUAAAACUAUUUGAUAAAAUGUUGCUAUGUCAACCCAUUUUAAUUUGAUAUUGUUGUAUUUUGAUUUAUGUUGUGGAAUCCAAGUUUGUAUUUGAAGCCAAGUUCACCCAUGAUCAUUGAGUUUCAAGCUUCUUAAAGUAAGAUUAUUGGACCACACUACAGAGACUACAAGGGCAAUACAAAAUCAACAAAAUUUGAAACGUGCUUGAUGUUUUUUAAAUGUCAUGAACAAGUAUAUUAUUGAUGUUUUUCCAAAGUCAUACACAAAUAUAUUCUUGACGUUUUUCAAAUGUCAUAAAAAAGUAUAUUCUUGACAUUUUUCAAAUGGCAUAGAAAAGUAUAUUCUUGACUUUUUCAAAUGUCGUUAACAUCAACAUACUUGACGAUUUUACAAGUCAUGAACAUUUGAAUACAUGACGUUUAUAAACUAUGAAUGUUUAUUAUUCUUGACAUUUUUAACUGUCAUGAACUUCGACUUUCUUGACGUUGACUUCAAUGAUAGUUUUAAAAUCGUCAAGAAUAAUACUUCUUGACUUUUAAAAUGCUUGCAUUUGUCGGUUUGAUCAAUUAUGAAGGGUAAGGGGCACUUAGCCAAUCCACUAAAGCUUUUUCUCAUACUUUGUGACAGUGAUGUAGCCUUGAAUUAAACUUAUAAAUUCAUUCCUAUUUCUGUCGCAAAAGAAGUGAGGGUAGAACUUAUCCCAAAACGUGAUAGGUUUUAGAUAUACAACUUACUGUGGCAUUUUUUUGAUAAAACAAUGGAGUCAAAACACAAGAUAAAGAACGAAAAUGCAUAGCUUCUAAUGCAAAUUUAUAACAUUAAAAAAGUGCACCUUACAUAAGUCAUUAUGCUUGCUUAACUAUACAUUUCAAGUGUUUUUAUAUGCAAGAUAAUGAUAUGCAAAUAGCUUGACGAUUCAAAUCACAAGGUGAGAUGCCAUCUCAUUGAUUAACGUGUAGAAAUACACGUUAUUCUAGCCUCUUUUAUUAGAAUAAUGAGGUCGAAAUUAAGAAAAAGUUUAUCAAAUCGCGUGGUUUGUAUUGAAAUUGCAUAAUACUUGGAAAUAUAUUUUACAUAAAUUCCCUUGUCUACUUUUACCCAGUUUUUAGUGUCUCAAGGCAGGAUUAAUAAGAAUGAAGAAACUAGUGAAUGACAGAGGAGCUCAUGAAAGCGUUACCCUAUCAGAACCCCAUCUAGCGAGUACUAUUUCUAGGCGAGGAACCAUGUCAUCGCGUGAGGAAGGUUCACUAGAAGAUAAGAAUGGUAGUCGGAGUUGAUGUGACUUGGCAAGACUGUAAUCAACACUAACAUGAUCAGAAGAAUAGAAGUUUUCCACUAAAAGUUCCUAUAAAAAGACUCAAAGACCACCAAGAUAGGUGUGUCUGAAUGAGCCAAAAUUUCGAAAAGGCCUGAAUGGACCAAAACCUAAAGAGGGGUUGAAGGGAAUAGUCUUUCCACUGUCUGUAAAGAGUGCUUUCCUUCUCCUUCUUUGCUCAUACUGGUAGUCGGAGUUAAUUUUCCAUUUCCCUAUAACUUAUACUCAUUUCCCUUCUCUUUAUCUUUCCUUUUUGUGUUCAUUUGUAAUAUGUACUAUUCAUAUCGUACAAGGGCCGAAGACCUAUAUUCUUUCUUAUAUGUUACAUGUACCUAUUCAAUCCAUGAUUUCUUUACUUUCCAUCAGUCAAUGUGCUUAUUUGUAGUUGAGUUAUUCUCAUCUCUUGGCUAGUGUAAUUGAGAGGUAGACUCUAGCACUAAGAUUUGAUAUUAAUUCCCCAUGUUCAACCAUGGAUCAUUUAGGUAAACCUACUCUUUCACUUGUACUUGGCCAAACAGUAGGAAAAAUUACAUGUGAUAUGAAGUUAGUAUUCAUGUGAUAAAGAGGGCUUCGCAUACAAGGAUCAUGGCCAAUGACUUAUUGCAUAGAAUCAAUCAUGUGAAACAGAGAGACAUAGUGAGCACAUUGCAUGUUGUGAACAUGCUCAAUGACGUACCACCUAGACUAAUUUGUAAACUUCGAACACGAACAAAAGUCUGUUGGAUCGAUAUGGCAACCCUAGAGGGGGGUGAAUAUGGUUUAAAUAAACUUUUUGACAAAUAAAAAGUAAAAUCAACUAAUUAGAUAUUUUUUAAAUUUAAAUAAAGAACUUUGUAAACUUUGUUAAAUAACAAGAUUGAUAAAAAAGAUAUGAAUGGAAGUAUGCAAUCAAACUCAACCAAUAAGAAUAUGUAACUAAAAUUGAAUUAAAAAAUAACUAGAAAAGAGUUAGAGAAGAAGACACCAUAAUUUUAUAGUGGUUCGGUUAAACUCAACCUACAUCCACUUUUCCAAGCACCUCUCGGGAUUUUGAUUGAAAAUCUUCUUUUGACUCUUUCCACGGAUUUGAGUCGAACAGAUUCUUGCUCUUUUUUCGGGUUCAAAAGCAAACCCGAUCCUUUCCACGGGUUAGGAUCCAACCGUUACAAUAUGUUGAAGUUUUUAAAUCACACAAAAGAAAACUCUCUAAAAGAGUGAGUAUACAAUUUGAAGCUCACAAAUUUAAUCCUCUCAAUACAAUAAGAAGCUCUUAAGAGUAAGAUGAAAAGAAUAAAAAUUGGAAGCUUUAGAGAAUAACAAUGUUGACUUUUUCCACUUUUUGAGGAUUGUAAAGUUUUAAUGAUCUUGUCUCUUUAAAAUUUGGGAAAAGUGAAGUAUUUAAAAAGAGAGGAAAGAUAAUUCAAAAUCAUUUUGGGUCAUUAGAUAUAAGUAAAAGAAAAAUGAAUGGUUGGGAUUUAAACUUAAUUAGCCGUUAGACACAAUACAAAUAAUAAUAUAAUAAUAUGUCUUUUCAAAAUACUUUGUUUAAAAAGAAACCAAUAAAGCAACUUCACCAUCUUUAAAAAAAAAACUAGCCGUUAGAAACAAGGAAAAAUAAUAAUAUUAAAGUCAUUUUCUUUUUACAUUCAUUUUCUUUAUAAAAGCUAAUAAAACAUAACCAAAAGCCAUAUUUGUUACUCCUCCAUUGCUCCAAGUGACUUUCUCUAAUUGGUUCAAAUUGAAUGUUUGGUCGCCACAUCACCAUCUCGGGUAUUUUUCCGUUAAGCUUCUUUUAGCAAUAUUUUCUUCGUUUGAACUUUGAUUUGGGUGAUUCAAGAGGCGUUAGAAUCAUUUUUCCAAGCUCUACGAAUGGUCUAUUCAAAUUAAUAAAAUUUUCAAUAAAAAAAAUCAGAUUUGUUAUCAUCAAAACAUAAAUUAACUAAAUAAUUAAAAUAAAUUAAUUUGAGAUUAAGGGCCAAAAAGUCAACAAAGUCCGCACUCGCAUAGAUAAACACCACUCAUCAUGCGAGAUGAUUCGCUAGAAGACAGGAGUGAUAGUUGGAGCUGGUGUGAUAAGAAAUGACUACUUUCUGCACAGACAUCCAUAGGCAAGGACAAAUGUGUAACAUAACAUAAUUUAUUUUUCGCCUGUAUGCCUACAAAAGACUCCAACUCCACCAUGAACAAAAAAAAAAAAAAAAGAAAAAAGAAAAAAAAAAAGAGAUGAGGUCAUCCCUUAAAGAUGCCGGUGAAAUGAUGAGUUUUAGAAUCCUUUGCCAUCUGUAGUAGUAGUUCUUGCUCCACCUCUUCUCUGGUCAAUAUCUGAGUGAGAACUUAGAGAGAUUAAAAAGAGAGAAGCUCAUCCACAAUUCUCCUAAUUUGUAAAAGAGCCAAGGAAUGCACAAUGCAUUCUACGGAUCGAUACAUUUCUUUACUUUCCAUUUUUGUAUUUUGUAAUGUGUUAUAUGAAUGUUGAUAUUCUUAUGGCCUAAAGGCCUACAUUAUCAAUACAAUGCAUUUGUUAUCCACUGUCUCUCUUUCAUCUCUUUACUAUUCAUCUUGCUGAAGUGUUAUAAAUAGUUUAUGUAUGUAUUACAUGCUUGAUAAGGGUUCUUUGAAUACAAGACUCAUCGUGUAUAGCCUAAGCUUAACUCAAUCACUUGAUCAGUGCUUGUCGUCAACUACUCGAGAGAGUAAGUAGCAAGGACCUCACUAAACAUCUGCAUAAUGAAUUCUGGCAUUGUGCCUCCAAUCAUUUAUAUAUUAAAAGGAGAACAAGUGUGAUGUUUAGGAAUCAAGAAGUUUCUUGCCAUAAAUAGAGAGGCAAUGUAAGGCUUAUAAGUAAGGAAACCUAGAUAUAUAUUGCUUGAUUUAUCUUUGCCAUUUGUGUCCAGAAAAGAGAACAAGUGGGGUGUUUAGGCACCGAGAGGUUGCUCGCCUUAAAUAGAAGAUGGUUAAAUGGUCUACAUUGCAUCAAGGACUUCUCGUAUGGCUUAAAUCACCUAUAAUGCAGAUACUUUCCUUUGCCUUUCUACAUGCAAGUUAGUUUACAUUCCGUAAUUUUUUCGUUCCAUUCCUCUAUUAAAGAAUCCUCUGUGUACAUAUUUAAAUUAGUAUAAUUUUAUAUUUAUACUGUAUAGAAAUUAUACCGCUUGGGAUUAGAAGUAGGAUUUAUAUCUAUGUUUGUUAGAAAUUCUCCGUGUUCAAUCCUUGCUUAUUUAGGAAACCUCUCAGUUCGCUUACACUUAAAAAAGCGUGAGUAAAACAUGUGCUCACUGAAAAAUUAGAAGAAACAUCCACACUUAGUGAGAAAGUGUACCUUUUAUAACAUGGUCCUCACCUAAAGGCAAAGUUAGCACUUUUUAUUGCAUAACUUAGUCAACUCACGUUGCAAGUGGCAGAAAUAGAACCUUAAAUGAUGAACCAACGAAGAAUAAUUAAGUCGAUGAGAGUCACAAAACCAAUUCGCGUACUCAAUCCAGUGUUCAAUUUGUGAGAAGAAUGUAUUACAACAAUGAUUUUUUGAAGUCCUUCCAUGUAACAAAACUUACUCCACCUGAUUUCGUUGCAUGGAGAGUCCACCAAUGUUCAAUAUUGCCUUUCAACAAAAAUGCUACCAAUUUCACUUUUCUUUCCUCGGGGCAAUCUAUCACCCCAAAAAAUUUCUUAACUAAACUCAACUACUUCUCUACAUCAGUUGGACUAAUGGUUCCUUCAAAGGUCAUUACUCCCAACACUUUUAACCUCUCAAUGCUAAACCUCUUGUCCACAUUAGAGAUUGUAGGCAUAAGAUGAUCAACUGUUCUUUGAGCAAAGGGAUGAAACAUGCUUUCCUCUACAUUUUGCCUAAUGGUCUUAUGUGGGAUACUAGACAUCUCAUUCGAUCCUUGUGGUCUAUUAGCGUUCCUAGUAGUUGGAACAUUUGCUGCUACUUACCUUCCCUGCCUGGCCUUCCUCGUGGUGCCAUUACCCCUAUAACACAUCAAUAGAUUAGAUUUUCACACUAUCAGAUGAAUAUCUAUAUGCAUGACUUCUAAGACUUUUCUCAAUAACUUAUGCUCUGAAACAAUUUUUCACUUCUCGCCCCAAAGUCACUAUAUGCGACCAAGUGGAGACGUGACCACCUAGACAUUGUAUGUUAGUCUUUCUGAUAACGUGUAUAAAUAUCCGUUAUUAUAACCUCUCUUAUUAGAAUAAUGAGGUCAAAACGCACAAGAAGUUGAUCAAAACGUGUGACUUAUGUUGUAAAUACAUUAGUAAUUAGAAAUACAUCUUACAUAAGUAUCAUGCAUGUUUUACGUGAUUUUCAUGUUUAAACACAUAGUAAGUGGACAAGAAGAAAAUAGCAAAUCACUGAGGACAUCUCGCGCAUAGUCAACGCAAUAGGAACUCGCCUAGUGAAUAACGUUUCCAGAUGGGGACCCACGUCAUCAACGAGGAAAGCUCACUGGAAAACAAAAACAAUAGUUGGAGUGAUGCGACUUCAUAAGACCAAAGUCAGCACUAAAAGUCUUAGAGGAACGAUUGUUUCUUAAAUAUAUUGUGGGCGCUAGAUGACAAUUAAUCACGAAGCAUUUUUUGUAUUUUCAUUGUGAACAUAUGUACAUUUUUUUCGUUUUUUAAAUUGUUCUAUAUAAUAUAAAUAUUUGAGCGUUUUGUUAUAUUUGGUAAAAGACCUCUAAAAUUAUCCGUUUUAAUUUCUCAUAAAAUUGACAUUCAUAUUUAUUUGAAUUUUUAUUGCCAUUUUGGUAAAUUUGGGAUCUUAAUACUCUCUCUCUCUCCCUCUCCACUCAUGGGAAAUUGUAAUUCUUUUGAGAUCGGUAAAAAAUGUCAAGAGAUAGGUAACUUUUUACUUUAUUCCCAUCCAUACCAUGUUGAAAAGAUUUGAUGCAUUAACAAAAACUCAUACAAUAUAAUUGAAGAAGAUAUAUGAAAUGGACACGCGUCAAUCGUAACCAUAGAGCAACCAACAAACACAACAUAUCUACCGGUUAUUUGCAAAUUAAAAAUUUUCAAACAAAAUUAUUUGUUGUUUUUAUAAAACUUAGUAACACAUGGCUAAUUGCAAUCUAAAUUUUAUUAUUCUUAUCAUAAAAAAACAUACAUUAAAAAACAUACUUCUCUAUAUUUUAAUCAAAUACUUUUAAUUAGAUGUAAUUCAUAAAUGAAGUUGAGUAUCGGUUAGUCGAAGUUGGUUUUUCAACCAAAUUAUCACUAAAUCAAUUAUGAUUGGUUUAGUACAUGUUCAAAUCGAUUUUCACCAUGAAAAAUUAUAAAUCAAUCGUUGGUGAUAAAUUGAUCAAUCGAUUUAAACUUUUGAAUUUUUUUCAAAAUGUUAUUGGUUUAAGUUUUUUUCCAAACGAACACUUACCAAGCUCCUCCUUAUUACUUAUUGGCCACCUUCAAUUCAAAUACCUCAAUUUUUCAGUUUCUUAGUCCUAUCAUGCUCAAUCAUCCCGUUCGAAGUAAACUUAAAUAUUCUUUUAUUUUAGUUAAAAUCACUACAAGAAAAAUGACCUACCAUGACACCUUACUACAACCCAAAUUGAAACGAGAGAGAGAAAAAAUGCCACAAAAAUCAAAAUUUUCGUUUUUGGCGAGGGAAAACGAUGUUUUCGAAUUCAACUUUUUUGUAACAGUUAUUUAUUGUUAAACUUUACCCUUUAAUUUUAUUCACGGGGUUGCCAAGAUUGGUGUGUCGUCGCCAUCUACCCACAACCACCACUCCCUUUGUUAAUCUCUAUCACAACCUCUUCCUCUUGGUGCGUGGUCUUGUUGUGUUUUUCUUUACACAUUUCAUUUGUACAUUAAUGGCCAAUUAGUUUGAGUUGAAAUAAACAUCAUCUUUAUCUUUAAAUAGGAGAAAACAUUCUUUCAGAAAUUGUGCAUUUCAGAAGUAUGUUUUUUAUUUAAAAGAUACAGAGAACUUACUUUUGUUAACAUCUCUGAAUUUGUAAACCAUCGUAUUGGGACACCACCCGUUAGAGACCUUUCUAUCCUCUAUGAUGAGAUUGGUUUGUGGAAACCAAUUGGGAUGGAAAAAAAUUUAUACAUAUUUGAGAGAAACUCUUUUCCUUUUUCAGAGAGCAAAAGCCUUAGCUUUUUUUCUUGAUCAAUUUGUUUUUAAAUAAAACUAUUUUCUUCUAGAUAUUUAUAAUUCUCUUUCUUUCUUGGAAUAGGAAAAGAAGUAGGAGAGAAUCAUGAGAUUUUAUUAUCAAAUCUUCUAAUUAAUUAAUAAUUAAUCAAUUAGUUAAUAAUUAAUUAAAUCAUAUUGAAUUAUAAUUUCAUUCAAAUAGAUUUAAAUGAAUAUCUCUUGAAUAUCUUAGAGGACGUUGGGGGCGUUGAGUGAGUUAUUAUAAUCUGUAGUUAUUAUAGUCUGUGGGUUAUAAUAGGUUAUGAGUUAUUAUAAUAUGUGUUUGGUACAGAUUAUUAUAGUUUGAGUUAUUAUAAUCUAUGUUUGGGAAAGUAAGGAAUAGUGAAAUGAGGGAGUGAGGAAUAGUGAAAGGAGGGAGUGAGGAAUAGGACAAAUAAGAAAAUAAGUAGAAUUGGCCUAAUUAUAGGAUUGUGAUAAUCCUCGGGCAAACAUGGAGUGGGCUCCUUCAUAAUCUGAGAGCCAAACGACCCCUUAUAGAUUUAUAUUAAUAUAUUUAAUCAAAUCAUAUUUAAUUAAUAUUUCAUUCAAAUCUUAUUUGAAUGAAUAUCUCUGUAAUAUUUUAUAGAUUUAAUUAAAUAAAACUAAACUAUUAAUUAAUUCUCCAUUUAAUUAAUAGCUAAAUUAAAUAUCUUAUAUUUAACUUGAAUUAAAUUUGAAUCAUAUUCAAAUAUAAGUUUCGCUCAUAACCAAUCAUUUUAACGUGAAUCUAAUUCACAUUAAACUAGUUCAAAUAUUUUCUCUCUCAUAAAUUAAUUUUGAAUCACAUCCAAACUUAAGUUUAUAUAAUAAAGUUUGAUAAACUUUAUAUGAUAAUGUAUCACUAUACAUUAAACUAAUUUUCAAAGUAAAUUUGAACAUUUCAAAUUACAACAACCAAUAUAAAUAAAUUUUAUUACCCUUUACGAACUAAGAAGGGGACCUAAUGAACCUACAGAUCAGAAUCUACAACGAUCUGAGAUUAAUUGGCUAAACUCAUUAACCACAUUAAUCAAUAUUCGUUUAUUGUGUGUACACUCCACUAAAGACUCACACCCGAACUCUCCUCACUGUAGGUAUAUUUUUGUGUCCAUGGAUAAAAACAAUAACAGUAAGUUAGUCAUUCACGAGUGUUUGUAACACCAGCUGAGUCAAUUUACUGUUUUGCCAUUAGGUUACCUCUAAUCCUUAAAUAUUAGUGUUUCUCCAAUGAACAACCUGUUUAUGCUCCUAUCGAUAAACAGAAACCCCUCUCGUGCCAUAGAGAGAGAGUUUGACUCUUUGUUCAAGACCUAGAUACAUCAUUUAAGGGAACAUUUAUCUACUUACCCUAAAGUAGGAAAUGAGUGAAUUCCAUCUUGUGUAAUUAUGUUCCUAGCUCCCCUCUCGAUCUUGUUCCCAAAAUGAUAAGCUUAUUGAGUCGACGAUCUGGUCACUCUCACCCGUACAAAUCAAAAGAUAAUCCCUCGCGAGCAAAAGUUCAUAAUACACUCAAUAUUAAGAUUAAGUUACCUAGGUCAUCCUAGUGAAUAGAAACCUAACUAGUUAAUGGAGUUACAUCUAGUGGUUACUAUUUUGCGGUCCGAUCUUAUGCAAACUCAUUGCAUAGAAUACCCUCACUCGCAUGUCAACUACAAGAACGUGGAUCAUUGCGUUUGUAUCAAAUACAAAGUGAGUCGUAUUCAUAGUGCUACCAAGAUAAGGUACCCAACUUUAUAGUUAUAUUAUAGACCCUUUAAACUGAGCUCGACCAUUGAUUCAUGUAUGUCUCUACAUACUGUUCAAGACUCAUUAAACAACUUAGGAUGUUAGUUUAUUGGAUUUGGAUUAUUAAGACAAAACUAAUAAUAUAAUCAAUAAGAAUUAUUACAAUAAUCACUUUAUUAAUAAAGAUCGAUGAAUUAUAUUUACAAUCUACGAGUUUAGGACAUAAAUCCUAACAAAUUAUUGUGAUACAAUGACUUCAAAAAAAAUGUUGAGAAUUUUAAAUCUAACAAUUUUAAUUGUUGUAGUAGACUAUUUUUCUUGUAGUGACUUGAUUGGUUUUACGGGAUUUGUUUAGGUCGUAAGUUAAGAAUAUAAGAUUCAUUUUGAAUACUAAGAUGUCUUCAUCUUCCUAAACACCAAGUACCCAUGCCUCUCCAUUUUCCAUUAUUUUACUUCCAAAACUAUAUCAUUAAUUUUGUCCUUUUCCAAAUCAUAAUACUUUUGUUCUUUCUUUUUUAAUUAUUAAGACACUAUUCCAACAUUAUUUUGUCUAUUAUUUAUGUUUUUUAAUUCUAAUCUUACUGCUUUGUUUAAUCCAAAUUUGAAAUAUUAAAUUUAACAUUUAUUUUUUAUAUAACCUACCUGAAUUUAUUUAUUUAUUUUUAACAAUAUUUAAGAGGAAAAAGCCAAAAUUUUAACAUCCAAAUCAAUAGUAUAAUUGUCAUGCCAAUUAAACUAUGAACAUAGUUUUACUUUAACACUUUGACAUUAGAAAUUGUUUUCUUUUCUUAUAAAAGACAACAAUAAAAUAUUGAAGAUGUUAUAAAGUAGUUAUUGUCAACAUUGUCUUCAUGUAUACAUACAUCUAAAUCUUUUACAUUAAAUUUCUAAAAGUUUAAAACUCUAUAAAAAUUGAAAGAAUAUAAGGGUGUAAUAGGUUGGUUUUGAAAAAUUAAAACUAACCAAAAUUUUAUCUAAAUUGGACCAACUUACUAUUAAUUGUUUGAAAUGUAAUAAAACCUUUUGAAAUGUUUGAAGAUGUUAUUUUGUUAGAAUUAUAAUUCACAUCUUAUGAACUUAGCUGAUAGUAACCAUUUUUACAGGAUAGAACAAAAUUUGUUUUAUUUAUAUAGAAUGUAUAUAUAUGAAAUGAAAUAACUAUACACACAUUUACACAAUAACACAAUAUCAAAUAUGAUUAUAUAAACAUCCAAAAACCACACACGUGUAUAAAUCUUUACCGCCCAUCAUCACUUCAAUCUGCUACACUCAGCUCCACCAAACCCUACUCUCUUAUUGGCCAAAUCAUACUCCACCCACAUAUUCUGUUGAUGAACAGUCCCGAUUAUAUUACUCCCAAUCCCAAGCCUUUCUGACCGUCCGAUCCCCACACACUUCACUCCUUUUUCCACUUCCGUCAAAACCCCUUCUCCUCUCCCCACGAAAAUCUCCACUCCGUUAUCAAACUCAAACGAGAUGCCGCCAAUCCUGCGGCCCACCUCCGCCGUGACACCGGCGUCGAAACACAUGUCGGCUACGUCGGCGUAUACGUAGCCUUUCUUCAUCAUCGCACCCACUAAUCUCACUACCUCUUCUUUAACCUUCUCAUACGCUUCAUCCACUAAAUAAGUCAGGUCCGAACCGGAGUCAAUCAUGGUUUGACCCGACCCACCCGCGUCCGGUUUGAAAGCGGCUGGGGGGAUGUUUAGCCGUUUUCCGGCUAUUUUUAUUGCCUUCAUAGGGAGAGUGUAAGCCAGUGGGUCGAGAUUCGGAGAGCUUUGACUUUCAGGAAAAGUCAACAUGGUGACGUAUUUGAAUUUGGAAGAAUUGGGGUUAUCUCCCAGGUAGAAUAGCCCGGUGGGAUUAGACCCUGUUCGACUCGGAACGCAAUAGGAGAAUUUGGAGAUUUUAGCUUGGGAGAUAAAGGACAAACGUCCACGGUUCAUUCCCAAAAUACCCCUGUUUUCGGUGGAGGCUUGAGCGCAACCGAGGAUGACGGGAGGGGUAGAAAGGGAUUUAGAGAAGGUAAAUUUUUCUCUGACGAGAUUUCCCUCAGCCAAG
rnacentral:lncRNA from 1 species